rnacentral:rRNA from 1 species
UGGGGAAUUGUUCACAAUGGGCGCAAGCCUGAUGACGCAACGCCGCGUGGGGGAUGAAGGUCUUCGGAUCGUAAACCCCUGUCGAAUGGGACGAAAGACUCGCGAGUGAAUACUUCGCGAGAGUGACGGUACCGUUAAAGGAAGCCACGGCUAACUCUGUGCCAGCAGCCGCGGUAAUACAGAGGUGGCAAGCGUUGUUCGGAAUUACUGGGCGUAAAGGGCGCGUAGGCGGCCCUCUAAGUCAGACGUGAAAUCCCCCGGCUUAACCUGGGAACUGCGUCUGAUACUGGAGGGCUUGAGUAUGGGAGAGGGAUGUAGAAUUCCAGGUGUAGCGGUGAAAUGCGUAGAUAUCAAGAGGAACACCUGAGGUGAAGACGGGUUGCUGGGCUGACACUGACGCUGAGGCGC